AGCCUGGUCGGCGAUUUGGAUUCCCAGUUUUUUUUUAAUUGAAAUGGUACUUUUUCAAUCCUUUGGUGGGAUGUACUGGGAAUUCUCUUAUUGAGGUAUCCGUUGGUGUGCUGGAAAUUUGGGGCACGUAAAGAUUUGUCUUGGAAAAUCCUCUAGAGAUUAAUUCGAUGUUUAUUGAUGGCCAGGCUGAGAGUCGUGUAAUAGACCCUUUUGUAUGUUAAAGGGUGUUCCGGUAUUCAGUAAUUGUAUGUAUUUAUCGAUCCUGAGGCUUUAAAGAAGUAAUAGAAGUACAUUUAUUUACCAGAUUUACAUUUAUUCAGUAUAUUGGAAAUAAUAAAUUUGGCAGAUUUAUUUAGAAGUUCGAUAUUUGACGUGACAUUUUGACAAAAUUUAAGGAAGAUUGCAGUGUGUUUAUCCAGGCAAAUGAUUUUUUUUAUUGAAGGAAAUAAGGACGGUAAUAGAUUUUAUUUUAUUUUAUGGGAGAAAACAAGAAAGAACAAGGUACAAUUUAGAUUGGGUUAAGGGGUCUAAAAAGGGGACUAAAAUACAAUGAUUUUUAUAUUUAUGUGAAGGAAACAGCUGGUUCUGGUUUAUUUUUUUUUAAUUAAUUACUUACUUUUGUUCUUAUAAACUAUUGAAAUCAAAAUUAAUAUUUGUAUGUAAAAAGGGACUUAAAAUUUUGUUGACAUUAUAUUCUCUAUAGUUA
rnacentral:lncRNA from 1 species